GAUGAACGCUGGCGGCGUGCCUAACACAUGCAAGUCGAGCGAACCCACCAGGAGUUUGCUCCGCUGAUGUUAUAAGCGGACGGGAUAGUACCACGUGGACAACAUACUUAUAAGACAGGGAUAAUUACGGGAUACAGGCGCUAAUACCGGAAAAUAUUUUGAACCACAAGGAUCAAAAGUGAAAGAAGGUAUUGCUGUCAGUUAUAGAUUGCCACGCGCUGCAUUAGUUAGUUGGUGAGGUGACGGAUUACCCACGCAACGAUGCAUAGCCGACCUGAGCGGGUGGUCGGCCAGACGGGAACUGAGGCACAGUCCAGACACCGACAGUGGGCAGCAGUAGGGAAUCUUCCGCGAAGCACGAAUGCCUAAUGUAACAACGUCGCGUGAGUGAUGAUGGACUUCGGAUCGUAGAGCGCUGUUAGUAGGAGGGAAGAAAAGCGUAUGUAGCUGGGAAGAUCUUGACGGUACCUGAACAAAAAGCCACGGCUAACUACGUG
rnacentral:rRNA from 1 species